rnacentral:rRNA from 1 species
CCUACGGGAGGCUGCAGUGGGGGAUAUUGCACAAUGGGGGCAACCCUGAUGCAGCGACGCCGCGUGGGUGAAGAAGCGCCUCGGCGCGUAAAGCCCUGUCAGCGGGGAAGAAAAUGACGGUACCUGAAGAAGAAGCCCCGGCUAACUACGGGCCAGCAGCCGCGGUAAUACGUAGGGGGCAAGCGUUAUCCGGGUUUACGGGGUGUAAAGGGGGCGGAGACGGCGCUGCAAGCCAGGAGUGAAAGCCCGGGGCCCAACCCCGGGACUGCACUUGGAACUGGGUGGCUAGAGUGCAGGAGGGGCAGGCGGAAUUCCUGGUGUAGCGGUGAAAUGCGUAGAUAUCAGGAGGAACACCGGUGGCGAAGGCGGCCUGCUGGACGGCAACUGACGUUGAGGCCCGAAAGCGUGGGGAGCAAACAGGAUUAGAUACCCGGGUAGUC